UCCAAGCCCCUUACAGGCUCCCUGCUGAGCCCUGUAAACAGUUGCGACUCGGCAGGGAGCCUGUAAGCACCUGGGACCCUCAGAAUAUCUGUGUGUCAGCGUACUUUAUUCACCGGUCAUUGGGUCAGGGGUCUGCAAGGGACAGACUCCCCACAGCUGGUGACCCCUCGAGAGGAGCCCUGCCCCCAGCUGGUGCCCCAUGUGAGGCGCUGUGUGAGGAACUGUGUGAGGAAUGCUGUGAAGGAAACGCGACGAACCGCCCGAAAACGAAGACAGAACAGCAUGUGGAGACUCACACAGUGAAAUUUUCCUCCAAGAAGUACUGCAUGAACAUACCAGGAAAACCAAAAGAAUUCACAGGACCUUUGAAAGAAGUGGCUUGCCGCUGCAAACUCCAUGAGACAGCUGAAAAACUG
rnacentral:lncRNA from 1 species